ACGCUCGACACCUACGGGGGGCAGCAGUGGGGAAUAUUGCACAAUGGGGGAAACCCGUAGAUGCAGCGACGCCGCGUGGAGGAAGAAGGUCUUCGGAUUGUAAACUCCUGUUGUUGGGGAAAAAGAGGAUGGUACCCAACAAGGAAGUGACGGCUAACUACGUGCCAGCAGCAGCGGUAAUCUGAGCGGGCUGGCAAGC
rnacentral:rRNA from 1 species